rnacentral:rRNA from 1 species
CCUACGGGAGGCUGCAGUGGGGAAUAUUGCGCAAUGGGCGAAAGCCUGACGCAGCGACGCCGCGUGAGGGAUGAAGGUCUUCGGAUCGUAAACCUCUGUCAGCGGGGAAGAACGGUCACUGUGCUAAUCAGCAGUGAAUUGACGGUACCUGCAACGGAAGCCCCGGCUAACUCCGUGCCAGCAGCCGCGGUAAUACGGAGGGUGCGAGCGUUAAUCGGAAUUACUGGGCGUAAAGCGCUCGUAGGCGGUAUGUCAAGUCAAGGGUGAAAUCCCCGCGCUCAACGUGGGAACUGCCUUUGAAACGGGCAAACUGGGGGGUGUGAGAGGAUAGGGGAAUUCCAGGGGUAGGAGUGAAAUCGGUAGAUAACGGGAGGAACAUCAGGGGCGAGGGGGACUAUCGGGCAGAUAACUGACGCUGAGGAGCGAAAGCGUGGGUAGCAAACAGGAUUAGAUACCCUGGUAGUC